ACCAUUUUUCUGGAAGAUAGGAGGAAAUCCAAACUUUGGUGUUUGAGUCUGUUUACUGUGCAUCUGUGGAAGGUGUUGAUCACACGGAUUACGUUAUUCUCCCGAGUAACAGAGAUUGAGCAGGGGAGAAUGAAGGGACGUGAGUGCACGUGAGGUGUCAGCUGUGUGAGAUUUCUGUUCAGCGCGUCAUAGAGAAAACAUCAAGCCACUACCGUUGUUUAUUUGGGGGUAUUAUACAAAUAGUGUGUGCUUAGAGUUUUGUGUACUUUCAUUUAUUUUUUAGAGCAUUUUACAACUUUGUAAAGUUGUAAAGGGAAUUUGUGCAGAUUGAUUCAAAUUAAGUACACACCGAGAGAGAGAUAUUUUAGUUUAUUUCUUUGUACAUCUGUGAUUCACACUAUAUGUAGUGAACUCUGUUUGAACGAAUUUUCUUUUGUUUAUAUUUUUGGUGCUCUCCGCUGUACAAAUUUGUCUGUAAACCUCUCCUCAAACGGAAACCUAAGACAUUAACGCCGCAUCUUUCUCAUAUGCGGUCAAAAAUAAAGAAUCCUUUUUUUAGAUGUCCGGCUGUUUUUUAAGUUUGUUUAUAGUCAACACAUUUUCGCGGCCACAUCUUAGUGGUGUCAGAAGUGGGAUAGUUUUUCUGCUGGUUUCCUUUUGUGGGGAGUUUUUUUUUUUCUUGAAGUUGAAUACGUUGUUAGCCUAAGUGGGGAGAUAAACAACGGUAGUGGUGGAGGAUUGUGUCCCAGAGCCUGCCGUCAGAGCUGUGCACAGAACUAAGGAAGGACUGCGGGAAGACAAGGAGCCAGAGUGCCAGGACCUGCUGAAACAAGGGGGCUGCAUCAGACUGUGUGUGUGGGUGAACUUUGUAGAGACUGAGAUUCUUAAUAACUGAAGGUAUGGAGGCAGAAGCUCCUGAUGAAGUAAUUGCAGAGGAGGUCAACAGCCAAGGGGCUGGUGCUGCCUUCAGCACUGACGACGAGGAAGGAGGUAAUCCUUUCCUACAACUCCGGUCACAAAUUCAGGAGCUAGGGAGGAGACACGACCAGGUGAUGUCGACACUUGCUAGUUUGAGCACUGUGAAUACCAGGUCAUAUGUCUAUAUCCCCAGAGAAAGACAAAUUGUUCCCUAUUGUGGUGACCCUAGUAAAGACUGUCAAACCGUUGACGAGUUUAUUGAGGAACUUGAACGAGUAAUUUGGGUAAGGGGAUUGAGUGAAGUGGAUCAGGCAGACUUUAUUUUGUCACACUUAAGGGAAUCAGCGCUUGAUGAGGUUAAAUUGUGUAUGGGGAGGGAGGACGCAAUGCCUCGGGACCUGUUUGAUUGCUUAAGGGCCGCUUUCCGAGAAAAACGGACGACCCCUCAGCUGUUACACGCCUUCUAUGCAAGGAAGCAGUUAGAAGGGGAGGAUCUACGAGAUUAUUCGCAUGCCUUGUCAAUGUUGUUAAAUG